GUGCUGGCUUCAGUAGCACAUAUACUAAAACUGGAAUGAUACAAAGAUUAGCAUGGCCCCUGCACAAGGAAGAAUCAGGGUAACUUUAGAGGUUCCAGGCUGGG